rnacentral:rRNA from 1 species
CGGCACAGGGCGGCUUGCUUACACAUGCAAGUCGAACGAUGAACCACUUCGGUGGGGAUUAGUGGCGAACGGGUGAGUAACACGUGGGCAAUCUGCCCUGCACUCUGGGACAAGCCCUGGAAACGGGGUCUAAUACCGGAUACUGAUCGCCUUGGGCAUCCUUGGUGAUCGAAAGCUCCGGCGGUGCAGGAUGAGCCCGCGGCCUAUCAGCUUGUUGGUGAGGUAAUGGCUCACCAAGGCGAUACGAUACGGGUAGCCGCCCUAGAGAGGGCGAACCGGCCAACACUGGGACUGAGACACGGCCCAGAAUCCUACGGGAGGCAGGCAGUGGGGAAUAUUGCACAAUGGGCGAAAGCCUGAUGCAGCGACGCCCGCGUGAGGGGAUGACGGACUUCGGGUUGUAAACCUCUUUCAGCAGGGAAGAAGCGAAAGUGACGGUACCUGCAGAAAGAAGCGCCGGCUAACUACGUGCCAGCAGCCGCGGUAAUACGUAGGGCGCGAGCGUUGUCCGGAAUUAUUGGGCGUAAAGAGCUCGUAGGCGGCUUGUCGCGUCGGUUGUGAAAGCCCGGGGCUUAACCCCGGGUCUGCAGUCGAUACGGGCAGGCUAGAGUUCGGUAGGGGAGAUCGGAAUUCCUGGUGUAGCGGUGAAAUGCGCAGAUAUCAGGAGGAACACCGGUGGCGAAGGCGGAUCUCUGGGCCGAUACUGACGCUGAGGAGCGAAAGCGUGGGGAGCGAACAGGAUUAGAUACCCUGGUAGUCCACGCCGUAAACGGUGGGCACUAGGUGUGGGCGACAUUCCACGUCGUCCGUGCCGCAGCUAACGCAUUAAGUGCCCCGCCUGGGGAGUACGGCCGCAAGGCUAAAACUCAAAGGAAUUGACGGGGGCCCGCACAAGCGGCGGAGCAUGUGGCUUAAUUUCGACGCAACGCGAAGAACCUUACCAAGGCUUGACAUACACCGGAAAACCUCCGGAGACAGGCUCCCCCUUGUGGUCGGUGUACAGGUGGUGCAUGGCUGUCGUCAGCUCGUGUCGUGAGAUGUUGGGUUAAGUCCCGCAACGAGCGCAACCCUUGUCCCGUGUUGCCAGCAGGCCCUUGUGGUGCUGGGGACUCACGGGAGACCGCCGGGGUCAACUCGGAGGAAGGUGGGGACGACGUCAAGUCAUCAUGCCCCCUAUGUCCUUGGGCCUGCACACACGGUGCUAUACAAUGGAACGUACAAUGAGCUGCGAUACCGCGAGGUGGAGCGAAUCUCAAAAAGCCGGUCUCAGUUCGGAUUGGGGUCUGCAACUCGACCCCAUGAAGUCGGAGUCGCUAGUAAUCGCAGAUCAGCAUUGCUGCGGUGAAUACGUUCCCGGGCCUUGUACACACCGCCCGUCACGUCACGAAAGUCGGUAACACCCGAAGCCGGUGGCCCAACCCCCUUGUGGGGAGGGAGCUUUCGAAGGUGAACGGCGU